rnacentral:miRNA from 11 species
CAAAAAAUCUCUAGUUCACCUA